UACGUAGGGGGCAAGCGUUGUCCGGAUUUAUUGGGCGUAAAGAGCGUGUAGGCGGCCAGGUAGGUCCGCUGUGAAAACUCGAGGCUACAACCUCGAGAUGUCGGCGGAAACCAUCUGGCUAGAGUCCGGAAGAGGAAAGUGGAAUUCCCGGGUGUAGCGGUGAAAUGCGCAGAUAAUCGGGAAGAACACCCGUGGCGAAGGCGGCUU
rnacentral:rRNA from 1 species